GUUUUUGAGUUUGAAUCUAUCUCAUUUAUUGAUUCUUGAUUUUACUUCUUGUGCUUUAGGAGUCUUGUUCAGGAAGUCAGAUCCUAAGCCAACAUGAUGAAGAUUUGGGCCUGCUUUUUCUUCUGUUAGGCCCAGGGUCUCUGUUCUAGUGUCUAAGUCAUUAAUCCACUUUGAAUUGAUUUUUGUGCAGGGUAAGAGACAGAAGUUCAAUUUCAUUCUACUACAUAUGGAUUUCCAGUUUUCCCAGCACCAUUUGUUGAAGAGGCUAUCUUUUCUCCAAUGUAUGUUUUUAGUACCUUUGUCUAGUAUGAAAUAACCAUAUUUAUGUGGGUUUGUCUCUGUGUCUUCUCUUUUUUACCAUUGGUCUACAUGUCUAUUUUGGUAAAUACUAUGCUAUUUUUGUUACAAUUGCUCUGUAAUAUAGUUUAAGGUCUGAUAUUGUUAUGCCUCCUGCUUUACUCUUCUUGCUAAGGACUGCCUUAGCUAUUCUGGGUCUUUUUAUUUUUCCAAAUGAGUUUCAUGAUUGCUUUUUGUGGUUCUGUGAAGAAUGUCAUUGGGAUUUUUUUUUAAUUUUUUUUAAGAGAGAGAGAGAGAGAAUUUUUUAAUAUUUAUUUUUUAGUUUUUGGUGGACACAACAUCUUUAUUUUAUUUUUAUGUGGUGCUGAGGAUCGAACCCAGCACCCUGCACAUGCCAGGCAAGCGCGCUACCGCUUGAACC
rnacentral:lncRNA from 1 species